rnacentral:rRNA from 1 species
GACGAACGCUGGCGGCGUGCUUAACACAUGCAAGUCGAACGGAAAGGCUCCAGCUUGCUGGUGUACUCGAGUGGCGAACGGGUGAGUAACACGUGGGUAAUCUGCCCUGCACUCUGGGAUAAGCUUGGGAAACUGGGUCUAAUACUGGAUAUGACCUUUCUCCUUAUGGGGUUUGGUGGAAAGUUUUUCGGUGUAGGAUGAGCCCGCGGCCUAUCAGCUUGUUGGUGGGGUGAUGGCCUACCAAGGCGACGACGGGUAGCCGGCCUGAGAGGGUGAUCGGCCACAUUGGGACUGAGAUACGGCCCAGACUCCUACGGGAGGCAGCAGUGGGGAAUAUUGCACAAUGGGCGGAAGCCUGAUGCAGCGACGCCGCGUGAGGGAUGACGGCCUUCGGGUUGUAAACCUCUUUCAGCAGGGACGAAGCGUAAGUGACGGUACCUGCAGAAGAAGCACCGGCUAACUAUGUG